CUUAAGACACCUGUUCAGUAGGUAGGAAAAGUGCAAUUUGAAUAUCAAACACCUUGCACAAGGUCAAAGGUCAGCUAAAUAUUCAAUGCUUAUAACUUCUUGCUUUUGUAUGUAUAAUUAUAAUACUGUCAGUGGUGAAUCUAGCCAUUGCAACCAUAAGCAUAUGGGCCGGGGGGCACAGACCCCCCCCCCCAAAUUUUCACGGUCAGGCAGAAAUCCAUGCGUCAUUCGGGCAAAACUUUAAAAUUUCACAAAAUAAUGUUAUGCAAACCAAAAAAUUAUGUUAUGUCCGGA